rnacentral:rRNA from 1 species
UACAGAGGGUGCAAGCGUUAAUCGGAAUUACUGGGCGUAAAGCGCGCGUAGGCGGUUUGUUAAGUUGGAUGUGAAAGCCCCGGGCUUAACCUGGGAGGGUCAUUCAAAACUGGCAGACUAGAGUGUGGGAGAGGGUAGUGGAGUUCCUAGUGUAGCGGUGAAAUGCGUAGAGAUUAGGAGGAACACCAGUGGCGAAGGCGACUGCCUGGACCAACACUGACGCUGAGGUGCGAAAGCGUGGGUAGCGAACAGGAUUAGAAACCCCUGUAGUCC